CACAACAGUAUCGUACCAUAUGCAUCUUUGCAUAUGCAAGUUUUUUUCUAUUCGGAAGUUGUAAGAAAUUCCGCACGAAUGUUAUAGUUCAAGCACAAAGAAGGAAAUAUAGAAGUGAGUAAAAUUGAUCAUAUGUUGUAUUUGUAUUAAAAGCAUUACAGAAGUGUACCAUUAGAUCAGCUUAUCUUAACCUGGCCGUUUGUUACUUUGUGGCAGUAUGAAAAAUGAUAAAAUAUAUGAUCAACAAACUCAUGGUGCUGAGUGUUUUUACUUAAAGGCAGUCGCUGUUCAAACUGGAUAAGUCCUUUGCGCAACUGCAGUGAAGACUUCGCGCGCCGUUCCCGCAAUUUCGCAUAAAUUGUUGAGACACACCUCUAAACAAAAGAACGGAAAGUUUUCAGCUCUUCACGGUUGAAGACGGGAAGUUUUAGCAGAAGUAUUCUAGAUUCACACGAUAGAGAACACAGCAAUUUUGACGGACUGGGUCGAGGAAACGAAACGCAAACCAAGCAAGAUAAAUGUUGCCUUAUCGGCUCGCUUGUCAGGACUGUGGUGUGAAGUUUGACACCAUCCGCCGCUUCAAGCAGCAUGUCCGCAGGAAGCAACAUCAACAGCAAGUGGCAGAGCUCUUCCAGACAGAUGAGUACCACGGUCAAGUCUACUUUGCCCCUUUCUUGGUUCUGGAGCAUCUGGCCAGGAAACCCACAAACACCCCAUAUCCCAUCAUCGGUCUGUGCCUGGUGACAUUGUGUGUGAGUCCAGAGGGGAGGGAUACUUUCUACCUUUGUCACAGUUGUGAGGAGAAGUGUGGCCCAGGACAGAUCAUAGACCACCUCCUCUCUGCUGACCACCUCUCCAACUACUAUAGCUACACAGACCCUGAUGUGUUGAGUUUCUCCUGGAUGCCUAACAUGGAUAUGUUGAACCUCCUACGGCCGCUAGCUGUCAAAGAGAUGGACAAGGAUGGACCUGGAGUGCUACGGGUGCUGGACAUGCCUAAGAGUGUGUCUGUGAAAUUGAAGACAAGUGGCUACUCUAAAGUCAUGCAGGCCCUGACUCAGACUGACAGGCUGGCUGAGUGUAUCAGAGCUGACAGACCAGAAAGGAUGACUAUACAAGAGUACCACAGAGACCCCAACAGGAAACACCCUCUGCUGGGUCUACAGCACCUGGUGGAGUACUGCUGUGAAGGGCAUGGCCAAAGGAGAUCCUACCUCUGUCAGCUCUGCCGCCUCCCUGUCCCCUCACGGAGGGUCAUCCAACACACACUCGGCUUCGACCACCUCUACUGGUACUUCAAGGUGUUUCACCCCUCCACCCUCCUGAUGAAGGACUGUUAUAAAGAGUACAGCUGCAGGUUCAUCGCCAUGAUCCUGGACCUGGCCAAUCAGGUGCAAGACAUCAGUCAGUCAGCCAAUAUGGAGAUACAGCAAGUUGUGUUGGAACCAGCAGUGUUCUCCUCAGUUGAGUUUUCUGUCUACACAGAGGCUCUGAGGAAGUUGCAGACCAUUAGGAGAGCUCGUAAGGAGGGCAGCCUUAAGACCAGCAUUAUACCUGGAGACAAACUGGUUCCUUCCUCAGAAGGGUCAAAGAUUACCAAAGAUGUUACCAUGACUAAUGUUGCUGAGGCUGUUCCUAUGGAGACCAAGUCAAGCCCAGUGAAGACCUAUGUCACACCUACAGCUGUUGAGACUGUAGCUACAGCAAGUACUGCUCCAGUUGUUACCAAAGCUACUAGCCAGAGGGGGACCUGUCGACUGCACUGUCAGGACUGCAACGUGGUAUGUGAGUCUGUGUCGCAGUACAAGUUACAUGUGCGUCACUGGAAACACAAGGAGAUGCUAGGAGUUAUCUUUGAACCAGGGGAAGAGGACAGUAAAGCCUGCAUCCCAUCCUUUACCUUGUAUGAGUACAUCCGGAACUCAGAAAGAACUGAACCAAUUAUUGGUGUCUAUCUGUUGGUGAUGUGUUUGAGUACUGAGUGUUGGAAAACGCCCUUCUACCUGUGUCACACCUGUCAGGAGAUAAUCCCUGCCAAUCUCGUCAUGACUCACCUCACCUCCACACUCCACCUUCGACGCACCCUGAUGUACCAGAGUCCGCAGUGUCUGCCAUUCGGGUGGGGGACAGAAAUGGGCCUGGAGGUCCUGAAGACUUUGGCCUGGGAGGAGGAGAGAGUCCGAGGAGAGAGAGACAAUGUACUGAAGGUGUUUGAUAUUCCUGACAGUGUUUUCCACAGCAUUAAGAUGUCCUCCUACUCCUCCGCCAUGAAGAAACUCAAGAACUUCCAUCGUUAUCUAAAAGUUGACAGGCCGCUGACGUUUUCCGCCCAUCUGAAAAACAAAGACCGGAGGAUUCCUAUGCUGGGUCUGCAGUUCCUGGUUCAGUACAGUGUUACUAGGGCCGGGGCCUCGUCUCCAGGCUGGGGCUUCCUGUGUUUGUUGUGUGAGAGGAAGUUGUCAGACGGACUCAGCAUCGCUCACAUACACAGCUAUGAACAUGUCACCACGUUCCUGGAGCGUGCCCAUCCAGGCUCUGUGAAAGAGGUAGAGGAGUCUGAUAAGAGGAGCGAAAUACUGCUGGACCUGGCACAACAGGCUGAGAAAAUACACGCCAUGGGGUGUCUACAGUUCAUGAUGUUGCAACGCUACAUCGGGGAGUCAGUCAUCUAUGAGAAAGCCUUAGUGAUCUUGAAGGCGAUCAAGAAGAGAGAGAACAUGGGAGACCUGAUGCCCAUGCUACCACCUGGCAAGAAACUGGUUCCCUCCAGUUCGAUCAGAGACCAGAGCCAGACUACCCCAGAACCUGCCCCUACAUCUGUAGGAGAGGAGAAACCGACCAGGAAAGAGACUGACAAAGACAAUGAGACCGAGAUGGACAGAGAGGCCACCCCAGAAACCAUUCAAAUGACCCAGGAGACUGGGGUGGAAGUGGACAAACGCAUUGGCAAAGAAACCUGCAGUGACCCCAGUAAAGACACUGGCAGAGAGACCAGUAAAGACACUGGCAGAGAGACCAGUAAAGACACUGGCAGAGAGACCAGUAAAGACACUGGCAGAGAGACCAGUAAAGACACUGGCAGAGAGACCAGUAAAGACACUGGCAGAGAGACCAGUAAAGACACUGGCAGAGAGACCAGCAGAGAGACCAGUAAAGACACUGGCAGAGAGACCAGUAAAGACACUGGCAGAGAGACCAGUAAAGACACUGGCAGAGAGACCAGUAAAGACACUGGCAGAGAGACCAGUAAAGACACUGGCAGAGAGACCAGUAAAGACACUGGC
ensembl:lncRNA